AAAAUUUAACCUCAAUAGUUCCAUACAAAUAUUUGAAAGAAAAAUAACAACUUAUAGAGAUAGGUUUUGGUGAUAUUAUGUUUCAGGUACAGUUAACAAUAAAACACCUUCCUCGUCAUAAACACCUUUUAAUCGGUUCCAAUUAUUACUAAAAGGACUUUCAACAACUUGAACAUACAUUGUAGCAUUAUGUGGAAUAACAAUACAAUCUUUUUCUAAUAAAUCA